rnacentral:rRNA from 1 species
ACUAAUUCUAGCCCUAACAUUAUUAAACCUAACCAUAUAAAUACGUAAAUUAAAUCAUUCAACUUAAUAAAAGUAUUGGAGAAAGAAAUCUUAAUUAGGAGCUAUAGAGAAAGUACCGCAAGGGAAAGAUGAAAGACUAAUUUAAAGUAAAAACAAGCAAAGAUAAAACCUUGUACCUUUUGCAUAAUGAAUUAACUAGAAAACCCCCAACUAAAUGCUUUGUAGCUGGAAACCCCGAAACCAAACGAGCUACCUAAAAACAAUCUUAUGGAUCAACCCGUCUAUGUGGCAAAAUAGUGGGAAGAUUUUUAGGUAGAGGUGAAAAGCCUAACGAGCUUGGUGAUAGCUGGUUACCCAGAAAAUGAAUUUCAGUUCAACUUUAAGCUUACUAUAAGAACAUACAAUCCAAACGUAAACUUAAAUUAUAGCCAAAAGAGGGACAGCUCUUUAGGAAUGGAAAAAACCUCUAAUAGUGAAUAAACAACAAUUAAAUUUAACCAUUGUAGGCCUAAAAGCAGCCAUCAAUAAAGAAAGCGUUCAAGCUCAACAUUAAAAACAACCAAUCCAACCAUUAACAAUAAAUUCCUAUCAUGCAAACUGGGUUAAUCUAUUAACUUAUAGAUGAGACACUGUUAAUAUGAGUAACAAGAAUAACAAUUCUCCAAGCACAAGUGUAUAACAACCCGGAUAACCAUUGUUAGUUAAAAACAAUAGAUCAUAAAUAACUAAUUAAAAUAUCUAAACCACCAACCAUUAAUCCAACACAGGAGUGCUCUAAAGGAAAGAUUAAAAAGAAUAAAAGGAACUCGGCAAACACGAACCCCGCCUGUUUACCAAAAACAUCACCUCUAGCAUAACAAGUAUUAGAGGCAUUGCCUGCCCAGUGACUAAAGUUAAACGGCCGCGGUAUCCUGACCGUGCAAAGGUAGCAUAAUCACUUGUUCCUUAAUUAGGGACUAGCAUGAACGGCUAAACGAGGGUUCAACUGUCUCUUAUUCUCAAUCAGUGAAAUUGACCUUCCAGUGAAGAGGCUGGAAUAACACAAUAAGACGAGAAGACCCUAUGGAGCUUAAAUUUACUAGCUUAAUUAAAAACCACCAACCCUACUGGACUAAAAACAAAAAUGUAAGCUAAAAAUUUUGGUUGGGGUGACCUCGGAGAAUAAUAAAUCCUCCGAAUGAUUCUAGCAUAGACCUACAAGUCAAGACAACCUAUCUAAUCUCAUUGACCCAAAUAUUUUUUGACCAACGGACCAAGUUACCCUAGGGAUAACAGCGCAAUCCUAUUUAAGAGUUCAUAUCGACAAUUAGGGUUUACGACCUCGAUGUUGGAUCAGGACAUCCCAAUGGUGCAGAAGCUAUUAAUGGUUCGUUUGUUCAACGAUUAAAGUCCUACGUGAUCUGAGUUCAGACCGGAGCAAUCCAGGUCGGUUUCUAUCUAUUCACAAUUUCUCCCAGUACGAAAGGACAAGAGAAAUAGAGCCCCCUUAACAAUAAGCGCUCUCAACACAAUUUAUGAAUAAAAUCUCAAUAUAUUAUUUAUGUACAAACAUACUACCUAGAUAAAGGU